rnacentral:rRNA from 1 species
UUUAUACGGAGAGUUUGAUCCUGGCUCAGGAUAAACGCUGGCGGCGUGCCUAACACAUGCAAGUCGAACGAUCUGUAGCAAUACAGGGAGUGGCGGACGAGUGAGUAACACGUAGGAAUCUACCCCUUCGGAGGGAAUAACUAAUCGAAAGAUUAGCUAAUACCCAAGAAGCUCGCAAGAGCAAAGUCGAAAGGCCUGGAGGGAUGAGCCUGCGGCCCAUCAGCUAGUUGGUGAGGUAAAAGCUUACCAAGGCUACGACGGGUAGGGGGUCUGAGAGGACGUUCCCCACGCUGGAACUGAAACACGGUCCAGACGCCUACGGGUGGCAGCAGUGAGGAAUUUUUGACAAUGGGCGAAAGCCUGAUCGAGCAACGCCGCGUGAAGGAUGAAGGCCUUCGGGUCGUAAACUUCUUUUUGAGGAGACGAGAAAGGACGGUAUCCUCAGAAUCAGUCACGGCUAACUACGUGCCAGCAGCCGCGGUAAUACGUAGGUGGCGAGCGUUAUCCGGAUUUACUGGGCGUAAAGCGCUUGUAGGUGGUCUUGUAAGUUGGGUGUGAAAUCUCCGGGCUUAACUCGGAGAGGCCAUUCAAUACUGCGAGGCUAGAGGUUAUUCGAGGGAAGUGGAAUUCCUGGUGUAGUAGUGAAAUGCGUAGAUAUCAGGAGGAACACCCGUGGCGAAGGCGGCUUCCUAGGAUAUACCUGACACUGAGAAGCGACAGCUAGGGGAGCAAACAGGAUUAGAAACCCUGGUAGUCCUAGCCGUAAACGAUGGAUGCUAGGUGUUGGCGGUCUUAACCCCGCCUGUGCCGAAGCUAACGCGUUAAGCAUCCCGCCUGGGAAGUACGAUCGCAAGAUUAAAACUCAAAGGAAUUGACGGGGACCCGCACAAGCAGCGGAGCGUGUGGUUUAAUUCGAUGCUACACGAAGAACCUUACCCAGGUUUGACAUACUGGUAGUAGUGAACCGAAAGGGGAACGACCCGCAAGGGAGCCAGUACAGGUGUUGCAUGGCUGUCGUCAGCUCGUGUCGUGAGAUGUUCGUUUAAGUACGCUAACGAGCGCAACCCUUAUUGCCAGUUACAAGUGUCUGGCGAGACUGCCGGCCACAAGCCGGAGGAAGGCGAGGAUGACGUCAAGUCAGCAUGGCCUUUAUAUCUGGGGCUACACACACGCUACAAUGGGACGGUACAAUGGGUCGCCAAGCCGCGAGGCGGAGCCAAUCCCGCAAAACGUCCCUCAGUUCAGAUUGCAGGCUGCAACCCGCCUGCAUGAAGUCGGAGUUGCUAGUAAAUGCGCGUCAGCUAUAGCGCAUUGAAUACGUUCCCGGGUCUUGUACACACCGCCCGUCACGUCAUGGGAGCUGACAACACCUGAAGCCAGCAGCGCAACCGCAAGGAGCGCACUGUCAAAGGUGGGGUUGGUGACUGGGACGAAGUCGUAACAAGGUAGCUGUACGGGAACGUGCGGCUGGAUCACCUCCUUUUUAGGGA